rnacentral:RNase_P_RNA from 1 species
GAAGCUGACCAGACAGUCGCCGCUUCGUCGUCGUCCUUUCGGGGAGACGGGCGGAGGAGGAAAGUCCGGGCUCCAUAGGGCAGGGUGCGGGUAACGCACGGGGAAACCCACGACCAGUGCAACAGAGAGCAAACCGCCGAUGGCCCACGUAAGUGGGAUCAGGUAAGGGUGAAAGGGUGCGGUAAGAGCGCACCGCGCGGCUGGUAACAGUCCGUGGCACGGUAAACUCCACCCGGAGCAAGGCCAAAUAGGGGUUCAUAAGGUACGGCCCGUACUGAACCCGGGUAGGCUGCUUGAGCCAGUGAGCGAUUGCUGGCCUAGAUGAAUGACUGUCCACGACAGAACCCGGCUUAUCGGUCAGCUUCACUU